rnacentral:rRNA from 1 species
GACGAACGCUGGCGGCGUGCUUAACACAUGCAAGUCGAACGGAAAGGCCCUGCUUUUGUGGGGUGCUCGAGUGGCGAACGGGUGAGUAACCCGUGAGUAACCUGCCCUUGACUUUGGGAUAACUUCAGGAAACUGGGGCUAAUACCGGAUAGGAGCUCCUGCUGCAUGGUGGGGGUUGGAAAGUUUCGGCGGUUGGGGAUGGACUCGCGGCUUAUCAGCUUGUUGGUGGGGUAGUGGCUUACCAAGGCUUUGACGGGUAGCCGGCCUGGGAGGGUGACCGGCCACAUUGGGACUGAGAUAAGGCCCAGACUCCUACGGGAGGCAGCAGUGGGGAAUAUUGCACAAUGGGCGGAAGCCUGAUGCAGCAACGCCGCGUGCGGGAUGACGGCCUUCGGGUUGUAAACCGCUUUCGCCUGUGACGAAGCGUGAGUGACGGUAAUGGGUAAAGAAGCACCGGCUAACUACGUG